ACUGACUGCCUUGAGCUCCGGG
rnacentral:miRNA from 1 species